AUUCCAGCUCCAAUAGCGUAUACUAAAGUUGUUGCAGUUAAAAAGCUCGUAGUUGGAUUUCUGUUAUUAAAAAUCGGUCGUGUCCUCACGGAUUCUGUACCAGGUUUCUUAAUUGCAUCUUCAAGGUUCUGGUAUCUGGUAUUAAUUUAUCGGGUAUUCGGUCCUUGUCAUUUACUGUGAGCAAAAUAGAGUGUUCAAAGCAGGCUUAGGCCAUGAAUACAUUAGCAUGGAAUAAUAAGAUAGGACCUUGGUCUAUUUUGUUGGUUUACAUUCCAAGGUAAUGAUUAAUAGGGAUAGUUGGGGGUGCUAGUAUUGGCCGGCCAGAGGUGAAAUUCUUGGAUUCGGUCAAGACUAACUUAUGCGAAAGCAUUUACCAAGGAUGUUUUCAUCA
rnacentral:rRNA from 1 species